AUCGACUUUGAGUUGGCAUUUGUUUUCAUGCCCAGAAGUCAGUUGAGCCCUUCGUACAUUGUGAAACUUCAUUCUUACAAACGAAU